rnacentral:rRNA from 1 species
GAUGAACGCUGGUGGCGUGCCUAACACAUGCAAGUCGAGCGAUUCUCUUCGGAGAAGAGCGGCGGACGGGUGAGUAACGCGUGGGUAACCUGCCCUGUACACACGGAUAACAUACCGAAAGGUAUGCUAAUACGAGAUAACAUGCUUUUAUCGCAUGGUAGAAGUAUCAAAGCUUUUGCGGUACAGGAUGGACCCGCGUCUGAUUAGCUAGUUGGUGAGGUAACGGCUCACCAAGGCGACGAUCAGUAGCCGACCUGAGAGGGUGAUCGGCCACAUUGGAACUGAGACACGGUCCAAACUCCUACGGGAGGCAGCAGUGGGGAAUAUUGCACAAUGGGCGAAAGCCUGAUGCAGCAACGCCGCGUGAGCGAUGAAGGCCUUCGGGUCGUAAAGCUCUGUCCUCAAGGAAGAUAAUGACGGUACUUGAGGAGGAAGCCCCGGCUAACUACGUG